UUUCCGUAGGUGAACCUGCGGAAGGAUCAUUAUUGUAUAACCGAGGUGCGAGGGCUGUCGCUGACCCGAAAGGUCGUGCACACCCGAGUGCCCUCACACACAUCCAUCUCACCCCUAUGUGCACCACCGCGUGGGUCCCCCUUUGGCUUGUUCGGAGGGGGGCUUACGCUUUCACACAAACUUUGUAUGCAGUGUAGAAUGUAUUUUUUGUUUUUGCGAUCACGCAAUCAAUACAACUUUCAACAACGGAUCUCUUGGCUCUC
rnacentral:misc_RNA from 1 species